UACAGAGGGGGCAAGCGUUGUUCGGAAUUACUGGGCGUAAAGGGCGCGUAGGCGGCCUGCUAAGUCGAACGUGAAAUCCCUGGGCUCAACCCAGGAACUGCGUCCGAUACUGGUUGGCUUGAAUCCGGGAGAGGGACGUGGAAUUCCAGGUGUAGCGGUGAAAUGCGUAGAUAUCUGGAGGAAUACCGGUGGCGAAGGCGACGUCCUGGACCGGCAUUGACGCUGAGGCGCGAAAGCCAGGGGAGCAAACGGG
rnacentral:rRNA from 1 species